rfam:Sphingomonas sp. Leaf339 scaffold12.1, whole genome shotgun sequence.
CCGGGCUUAUGCGGACGCCCGUUUAGACGGGUUUCGUCCAAGUCCGC